UCAGAGUAGAAAACGAUGCGUUAAGUGUCCAGCAGACGGGGAGUUGCUGCCGGAACGAAAAGCAAAGCUUGCGGUAUCGUUUUCGCAUCCCGCUGA
rnacentral:ncRNA from 10 species